rnacentral:rRNA from 1 species
AUUGAACGCUGGCGGAAUGCUUUACACAUGCAAGUCGAACGGCAGCACGGGUGCUUGCACCUGGUGGCGAGUGGCGAACGGGUGAGUAAUACAUCGGAACGUACCCUGACGUGGGGGAUAACGUAGCGAAAGUUACGCUAAUACCGCAUACGUCCUGAGGGAGAAAGCAGGGGAUCGUAAGACCUUGCGCGUUAGGAGCGGCCGAUGGCGGAUUAGCUAGUUGGUAGGGUAAAGGCCUACCAAGGCGACGAUCCGUAGCGGGUCUGAGAGGACGACACGCCACACUGGAACGGGGACACGGUCCAGGCUCCUACGGGAGGCAGCAGUGGGGAAUUUUGGACAAUGGGCGAAAGCCUGAUCCAGCCAUUCCGCGUGAGUGAAGAAGGCCUUCGGGUUGUAAAGCUCUUUCGGCAGGGAAGAAACGGUUUUGGAUAAUACCCAGAACUAAUGACGGUACCUGAAGAAGAAGCACCGGCUAACUACGUGCCAGCCGCCGCAGUAA